rnacentral:lncRNA from 1 species
CAAGGACGCUCUUAAUUCAUCUGGACUGCUCUCUUAGAAUAAGAAACGCACGCCGGUAUCAGAAGGUGGGCUAGAUAUUUAGCUCGUUUUCUUUUGGUAAUUGAUAAAAAGCAGUAACUACAAAUAAAAAUGCUAAGUUAUCUUCAUGUGGUGAUCGAAUCAUCGUUACUUCGAGGAAGAUGGGUUGAGAAUGUGUUCCUCUUAGUGCCGGCACUUCCAAGAACCCUGUCAUCAGUUUUCACAGAUUGUCAGGCUUCAAUGUACCCCCUAAUCAAGAGCUCCAAUUGAAGUGGGAAAUAGCCAUUCUAAGAUCAAAGUUAACAAAAAAAAAAAGCCAAGAGACAAUUUAGACAAUAAAUGCAAGAAUUCAAGAAUCUGCAGCCUCCAUUUCACAGAUGAUGACUUCAUCACCAAGUCGAUCGACAAGCAACAUGGCCACGGGCUCUAACUAAACAUAGAUCUAAAAUAAAGGGGUUGAAAGAUGUUCCGUUAGUGUGGACAAAUUUUCCUUCGUAUUUCUCCUCACCUCCAGCACCCUUAGACCUAUUGUAGCAGCAUCAAGGAGUUAAAGGCUUCAACUCGACUAUGAACGAAAAUAGGCUAUUGGGUUUGAGAUGUUCAUGAAAGAAGGGGUUGAAACAUCUCAAGAGCUAUAUAAAAAGUUAUCUCAAGAUACACUCCGUUCAGGAUAUAUUCUUCUUAAAUCGCCAAAAUUAUCCUUAGUCUAGCUUGAAGCUACAAGGGCCUUGAAAUCAAAGACAGUCAUGAAAUAGAAGAUGACCUCACCUUCAAAGUUUUUAAAGACUAUCACAGGAUUAACACCAGUACAAUUUCACAUAGCCUAAUCACAAAAUCACAGGGUAAGAUUAAAUCUGAUAUAGAAGUAAUCAACAUAGCUGCAUAUAUUAGAUCAAGGAGGAAAUGAAGAACAAUGAGGAUUAUGAAGUCAUUGGGAUCCUGUUCCGUUGACUAUUAGAAUUUUCAGAAUAGGAGCCAGCUCAAUUAUCAAAGUUCUCUUUUAUCACGGAGCAGAUGCCGCUACUCUUCAAGAGACCCAUAGCUAGGAUAUACUUACCAGGUCUUCUCUCUGUUCGUAUCCUUUUUUUAUUUUAUUAAUUAGGUAUAUUCAUUAUUGAUCAUUAUAUAUAUGAACACAACACAGUAGCAUGUAGUUCGAAUUAUUUACCGUUCCUGUACUUUAAAUAAAUUUUAUAAUAAACCAACGACAGUGAUUCAAUCGAAUGGACGAAGUGCUAAUAAAUAAUAUCCGUUAUACAUUUAUAUGGGCUUUAGAAAAAGUAAUGAGACCUUCUAAAAAUACAGUUUUAAAUAGGUGUUGUUGAUUAAAUCUUAAAGUUCUGAUUAUUUUUGAUUAGCAUAGAUUCGGUAUCUGGUAAAAUGAUUUUGGUAAAAAGGUAGCGGACAAAAACGUUGUAUGGUAUUAUCGUUGUGUACAUUAUCAUUGUGAGACAAAAACUUCGUCGAUAAUAUCAUCGUGAAGCAAUAUCAUUAAACAUGCCAGGAUAGAACCCUUCUAAUCUAUAAUACGCCCUAGCCCACAAAUUGUAUAAGUGGACAGCUGGGCCUCAAUGCUUGUUGAAUUUAUCAACUGCUGCUUUACUGAGCAUCAAAGUACCCUUCUGAUAUCCCAAAAUACACCCCGACCCACAGGUUGUACAGGUGAAGUGUUGGUACCUUUAUAAUAUCCCAAAAUACACCCCGGCCUACAGGACAUUCAAACACUUCGAUCUAUGGGUUCUCUUCAAAAAAAAUGUGCAUUUUUCCCUCAUUUUCGUUGUCCAACGUUAUGAUAGAGAAGGCUUCAUGGGAGUUGGUACGGAUUUUUUUGGGUGCUCUUUCAUCACUCUGCUAGCUUCAUUGAACGUUGAAAUUAAAUUAAAGAUUCUCCCUAUUAUUAAUGUCAAAUGUAUGAACUUUUGGAUUAUUCUCAUUAGGAAUAUCGAUUGAAAACCUUAAUGAAGACCUAAAUGAAAAAAUGAAAAGACCUAAACUUUGCUUCUUUUUUUUAAUAAUUUAGUAACUUUUUGAAAAAUCUUCGUGGAUGAAAGUUAAAUUAUUGUGCCAAAUUAUGAUUUUCUUUAAAUGACUAUUAUGUUGAUUGCUUUAAUAGAAGUUACGAAUUAUAGAAUAAAAAAAAAGUAGUCACACUUAUUCUGAGUUAGA